AGUGCGUUGGGUUAAACCUUGAAACAUUGGAAAAACUUCCAAAAGUCUCUUGCAUUAAGCACUUUUUACAGCUGUGCUGUAUUAACUGAAAACUUCGUUUCCAUGAUGGGACAGUCGCGUAACAUGCUCCUGGUCGGUGAGCUGCCCGGUGACUUCCUGCGAAGUGGACACCACGCCUGCCCUCCGGCACGCCUAGCAGAUCUCGGUUGACGAGCAGACUGCCAUCGCACUUCAGCAGCAGCUGUCAGGAGCGGCGUUCACCACUGCCCAGGCUUGUUGGACGACUCAGCAUCUCUGUCAUACAGGCAAAGCUGGUGAAGAACUAUGGCGUCACCGGAUGGACCUUACGUGCGGAUUCGCA